rfam:Idiomarina baltica OS145 1099451322295, whole genome shotgun sequence.
AUCGCUGAUGAAAUUCGGCUAUUGUUUUGAGAUUUGUGUACGAAGUCCUUCUUUGCUGUACCUCGUUUUGUAAGUCCAAGUAAUACCAAUUUCUGAGCAUUUUUAAUUCACAUGCAUUACGAGGAAGAUCAGCAUGUCUACUACUACUGGUAAAGUUAAGUUUUUCAACGAAGCUAAAGGCUUUGGUUUCAUCGAACAAGAAAACGGCGCAGACGUUUUCGUUCACUUCAGUGCAAUCCAAGCUGACGGUUUCAAAACUUUAGCUGAAGGCCAACAAGUUUCUUUCACUGUUGCUCAAGGUCCUAAAGGUCCUCAAGCAGAAAACGUAGUUCCUAUGUAAUCUACGUUUAAAAAGAAUUCUAAACGCCGCUUUUUAGCGGCGUUUUUUAU